ACCCUUUUCUUUCCUUCAUUUUAUCAAUUAGUUCUCGCACUGUCACUUGGAUCUCUUUCCAUAAAGAUCAGAGCAGAGCUCGUCCUGAACCGUUGCCGGACAAACUAAACAGUCAACGAAAGCGACCACUUUAAGUGCACCUUCCUAUUCCUCCUCCACCGAAUCUCGUCCGGUCGACUGCUUUCAUGAACAUUGCCCCUCUCUGCCACGACAUUACGCUGCCGAUGGUACACCUUGCCAGCCGGAUAGUCGACCUGUUAAGUGGCAACUGGUGAGAGUGUCUUGGUGAAAUCCGCUUUGCAAAUUGAUCAGGAGUUGUGAGAUGCUGGGUGACGUUAGUCGAGCCACAUGUUUCGGCUCCACAGUUAGGAUCGACGUUAGAUAAAAUCGUAAUGUUGUCUGGCAAGGGACACGUGCGUCUUAAAAAUAACAGUUUAUCAGCUUGAUAAUCAUAACAAUGGUAUUGUUAAUAAUCUGACCAAUUGAGUCGAAGUUGGACAGCCCCAUAUUGCAAAACAGACUAAUUAAUCAACACAGGACAUGUGAUAUUAGAUACCGAAGGCACAGGGAACAUUCCAUUGGCCACAGCUCUCGAAAAGCAUUAAUUACUCUCGACAUCUGUUACCUGUUUCAAUUCAAACCGUGGAAUACUUCUGAUCUUUUCCCUAGGAGUAUAUAAUGAGAUAAAUAUUUAAUUGAUAUGGAGUAUCAUUAGCAUCGUAGAUUCCAAGAUUGGAUUACGAUAUUUAUACAUGGAUAAUCUGAUCCCACGUAUACGUCAAUGAGUAAUCCCUUUUGAGAAGCUCUCAAACAUGUAGUGGCAUAAUUACACUGAAAGUGAUAACGUUAAUUAAAUUACA